GUUCUUACGGGGGGCAGCAGUGAGGAAUAUUGGUCAAUGGGCGCGAGCCUGAACAAGCCAAGUCGCGUGAGGGAAGACGGUCCUAUGGAUUGUAAACCUCUUUUGUCGGGGAGCAAAAGACGCCACGCGUGGCGUUCCGAGAGUACCCGAAGAAAAAGCAUCGGCUAACUCCGUGCCAGCAGCCGCGGCAAUACGGCGGAUGCGAGCGUUAUCCGGCUUUAUUGGGUUUAAAG
rnacentral:rRNA from 1 species